rnacentral:lncRNA from 1 species
AUGCGGAACGUCGGCCGGCCGGUGCCCCGCAGGGACCCCGAGAUCCCGAGCUGCACGAGCCCGCGCUCCUUGAGCUGCGAUGCUCCCCGUGCUGCGGUGCUCCCCGUGCUGCGGUGCUCCAGGUGCUCCCGUGCUGCGGUGCUCCGGGUGCUGCGGUGCUCCGGGUGCUGCGGUGCUCCGGGUGCUGCGGUGCUCCCGGUGCUGCGGUGCUCCAGGUGCUCCCCGUGCUGUGGUGCUCCCCGUGCUGCAGUGCUCCGGGUGCUGCGGUGCUCCCUGUGCUGCGGUGCUUCUUGUGCUGCGAUGCUCCGGGUGCUGCGGUGCUCCCCGUGCUGCCCCGCUCCAGGUGCUGCGGAGCACCACGUGGUGCUGCGAUGCUCCGGGUGCUGUGUUGCUCCGGGUCCUGUGAUGCUCCAGGUGCUCCAGGUGCUGCGAUGCUCCCGGUGCUGCGGUGCUCCCCUUCCUUCGGUGCUCCGGGUGCUGCGGCGCUCCGGGUGCUGCGGAGCUCCCUGUGCUGCGGAGCUCCCUGUGCUGCGAUGCUCCCGGUGCUGCGGUGCUCCCUGUACUGCGGUGCUCCGGGUGUUGCAGUGCUCCCAGUGCUGCGCUGCUCCCCGUGCGGCGGUGCUCACCGUGCUGUGGUGCUCCCGGUACUGCGGUGCUCCGGGUGCUGCGGUGCUCCUGGUGCUGCCGGGCUCCGGGUGCUCCCUGUGCUGCGGUGCUCCGGGUGCUGCGGUGCUCCGAGUGCUGCGGUGCUUCGGGUGCUGCGGUGCUCCCGGUGCUGCCACGCUCCGGGGGCUGCGGUGCUCCCCGUGCGGUGGUGCUCCCCGUGCUGUGGUGCUCCCGGUGCUGCGGUGCUCCGGGUGCUGCGGUGCUCUGGGUGCUGUGAUGCUCCGGGUGCUGCGGUGCUCCGGGUGCUGCGGUGUUCUGGGUGCUGCGGUGCUCCCUGUGCUGCGGUGCUUCGGGUGCUGCGGUGCUCCAGGUGCUGCGGUGCUCCCAGUGGUGCCGCCCUCCGGGUGCUGGCGCGCUCCGGGUGCUGCGGUGCUCCGGGUGCUGCGGUGCUCUGGGUGGUGUGGUGCUCCGGGUCCUGUGAUGCUCCAGGUGCUGCGGCGCUCCCUGUGCUGCGAUGCUCCGGGUGCUGUGGUGCUCCCGGUGCAGCGGUUCUCCCCGUGCGGCGGUGCUCCCUGUGCUCUGGGUGCUCCGGGUGCUGCCGCGCUCCCCGUGCUGCCGCGCGUGCCCGGAGUGCACAGCGUGCCCAGGCGAGAGGACUGCAGCCAGUGGAGGACGGAGGCGUGCGAGGAGCCGUGGGGGUCUCGCCGGGGCUCAGACCGGGAACCCCGGGCCCCCCGUGGCCCUGCGAAUGUCGGUGGCCACGGGGACUGUGCAGCUCCGGGUCCGGGGUUGCCGGGAGCCCUGGAGACGGGGGCAGCCGCGUCCUGCACCCGGCGACCCGGAGCCUUUCUCGCCCUCGCGCUCUCGCUCCUCCUGGCGCCUGCGUGUGCGGGGCGGGGCGGGGCGGGGGCCUCGGCAGAAAUACACCCCGCAGGAGCCCCCGAGCCGCCUCUGCGCCGGACUGUGGGAGACGGCGGCCUGCAGUGGGCGCCGCGGGUCCUGGGGGGGCCCCUGGCGCCCCGCGGGGGUGAUGCUGACGCCGCCAGGUGCGGGGGCAGGUGA